GAUCUGAAUCCUCUCUGUCCUCCAUAACACUCUCACACACAUGGAUACUCACACAGACACACACAGACACACACACACACACACACACACACAUUUAAAUAUUUAAAAGGAAAAAAAACUCUAAAUACCAUUGAGAUAUAUGUAAGUUCUUGUACUUGAACUUUAGAAAAGUAAUUUCCUACCCUGAGAGAAAGGGUGUAAAUUAGUGAGAGGCAUUUUGAUACUAUGGGUUUAAAAAGCUUAUAACCUAAGAAACUGAAGAGUGUUUUGGUUGGUUGGUUGGUUUUAUUUGGUUGGUUGGUGGGUUGGUUGAUUGGUUAGUUGGUUUUAGUUAUCUGAGACAGGGUUUCACUGUAUAGUAUUGGAUAUCCUGGAGCUCACUCUGUAGAACAGGCUGCCUUUGAGCUCAGAAAUCCACCUCACUCUGCACAGAUUUAUUAGGAAUUAGAUUGCUUGAUUAAGCGGGAAAUCCCUGAAGCUAGGAUCUGUAAGCUGGAGACUCAGAGAAAGCAGUAACAUAAUUC
rnacentral:lncRNA from 1 species